GACGAACGCUGGCGGCGUGCUUAACACAUGCAAGUCGAACGGUAAGGCCCUUCGGGGUACACGAGUGGCGAACGGGUGAGUAACACGUGGGUGAUCUGCCCUGCACUUCGGGAUAAACCUGGGAAACUGGGUCUAAUGCCGGAUAGGACCACUGCCUGCAUGGGUGGUGGUGGAAAGCUUUUGCGGUGUGGGAUGGGCCCGCGGCCUAUCAGCUUGUUGGUGGGGUGAUGGCCUACCAAGGCGACGACGGGUAGCCGGCCUGAGAGGGUGACCGGCCACACUGGGACUGGGAUACGGCCCAGACUCCUACGGGAGGCAGCAAUGGGGAAUAUUGCACAAUGGGCGCAAGCCUGAUGCAGCGACGCCGCGUGAGGGAUGACGGCCUUCGGGUUGUGAACCUCCUUCAGCACCGACGAAGCGCAAGUGACGGUAGGUGCAGAAGAAGGACCGGCCAACUACGUGCCAGCCGCCGCAGUAA
rnacentral:rRNA from 1 species